CGGCAAGUUCUAUGCAACCAGCUCCUGCCGAGUCCCCCAGGGUGGGAACACAGCAAGGGUAGGUAGUCGUAGCGGUGUGAUGUAGGUCGCUUGCCACUU
rnacentral:SRP_RNA from 1 species